GCAGUCGAACGAUGAAGCCCUUCGGGGUGGAUUAGUGGCGAACGGGUGAGUAACACGUGGGCAAUCUGCCCUUCACUCUGGGACAAGCCCUGGAAACGGGGUCUAAUACCGGAUAACACUCUGUCCUGCAUGGGACGGGGUUGAAAGCUCCGGCGGUGAAGGAUGAGCCCGCGGCCUAUCAGCUUGUUGGUGGGGUAAUGGCCUACCAAGGCGACGACGGGUAGCCGGCCUGAGAGGGCGACCGGCCACACUGGGACUGAGACACGGCCCAGACUCCUACGGGAGGCAGCAGUGGGGAAUAUUGCACAAUGGGCGAAAGCCUGAUGCAGCGACGCCGCGUGAGGGAUGACGGCCUUCGGGUUGUAAACCUCUUUCAGCAGGGAAGAAGCGCAAGUGACGGUACCUGCAGAAGAAGCGCCGGCUAACUACGUGCCAGCAGCCGCGGUAAUACGUAGGGCGCAAGCGUUGUCCGGAAUUAUUGGGCGUAAAGAGCUCGUAGGCGGCUUGUCACGUCGGAUGUGAAAGCCCGGGGCUUAACCCCGGGUCUGCAUUCGAUACGGGCUAGCUAGAGUGUGGUAGGGGAGAUCGGAAUUCCUGGUGUAGCGGUGAAAUGCGCAGAUAUCAGGAGGAACACCGGUGGCGAAGGCGGAUCUCUGGGCCAUUACUGACGCUGAGGAGCGAAAGCGUGGGGAGCGAACAGGAUUAGAUACCCUGGUAGUCCACGCCGUAAACGUUG
rnacentral:rRNA from 1 species